UUCCCUUCUUUAUUUCCGAUUACAAAGCCAGAAGAAAAAUUUUCAUCGCCUCUGUCGCUCCCACACCAUCAUCUCUGUCGCUCCAUCACCACCCCAUCUCGAUCGCCUCCACCACAACUAGCACCACCACCUCCAGUAUGUCCACCAUUACUAUAUCAUCAGAUUUAUCAAAUUGGUUUGGUUUUGGUAGAUGGAAAAUUGAGUUUACAGAUUAUUAAGAAUCGAUCUGAUGCUUUCAGAGAAGAUGCUAUUUGUUUAGUUUAUUUUUCCCCUGCAUCUGCUCAUCAAGUCGUUUCUUAUCUUGGAGAAAUUAGAUAAUAAUUUUAAAGAUUUUAACACACCACCAAUUAUCGAUUCAACUGGUCGUUUGUGAGUGGUACUGAUGGGGUUGUUGUAUUUGGUGGUUCUUUUUCAUAUUGGUGGUGAAUUUGUUAGAUUUAGUGGUAUGAUCUAAAAGGUUAGCAGGUAAGCAGUACUAUGCAACAUAGGAUUGGUUUACACAUUUAUCAAUUGUUUGUUAUGAUAUAAAGAGGUACUUAAUCCAACGUUAAUCAUGUCUUUUUAGUAUUACUAUCUAAAAAGCUGCAGCCAUGUUACGCUUUUAGUUGAUUUCUUUUCAAAGUUUGUUUAAUUUGGUUUGGUUUUAAUAAAGAUUUUGGUUGUUAUUGAUUUUAUUAAGUACUAAUUAUGCUAAAUGGUAUGUUACAUUUGAUAUUGGUGGUGGUGGUGGGAAUAACAGAAGUGAGAAAGGUGGUGAGUAUGGUGAGAACAAUGGAUACCAAGGAGGAGAUCACAGUGGUUGUCGUGGUGGUGGAGGGAGACGGGGUUCUACAAAAGAGAAAAUAGAUAUGGAAAGGCCCCUUCUACAACAACAUUCGAGGGAUUUGUAAUUCACAUACAGUACUUCUAUGGUUCUGUUUCACUGCUUCCACUGACUGCUGCAAGUGCUCUAUCACUCAAGUGGAAUAUCUAAGAAAUCGUGAUGCUAUUAGCCUUGUUGAUUGGCAAUUUGGAAUGAUGUGUAUUUCCUUUGUUAUAUGUUGAACAUUUGGUGAUGGAGGACGCGGUGAAGGUUAUGAGGGUGUCGAAAAGCAUAUUGUUUCCGAACGGAAAAAUGAUCUUAACUAGUAUAUGUAUUGUUGGACACAUCAUAGUCACAUCACAUCUUGUCGCUGUUAAAUGGGCGUAUAGUUAAGAUUAGGAUGCAUAUUGAAUUUUAUGUUACUCAAAAUAUAAAAUGAAAUCUUGCUUUUGCAUAUUUAGUUAUUCUCUGUCUGGGUGCUUUCCUUUAUGAUGAACCUAGAAUUUUUUAUUUUCAUUUUGGCAGUUGUAUGAACCUAGAAUUAUUCUCUGACUGGGUGGUUUCCUAAUUGUAAUUGCUGAUUUUAUAAACAUAGAAUUCUUGAUUUGUAUAGAUUGUGGUAGGAUGUUUGUUAGCGGCCACGGGAUGUGUCACUCAUUUUUGUUGGUAAGAGCAGUCAUUUCAUGUACGAGUUGAUCGAUUUGAUAAUGUAUAUCCUACUCUUACAAAAAUCUAUUAUGGUACAUUACUUUUUAAUGAAAAAGUAGCAGCUCAUUCUCGAGUC